rnacentral:piRNA from 1 species
UCACGGCAGAAAUAGGCAGGGUGGUGGU